rnacentral:tRNA from 1 species
GGGAGUGGUUGUGUCCCGGUGGAUGCCCCCGUCUUCAAAAUGGGUGGCUGGCUGUGCCGAACAGGCGGCGGUGGGUUCGACUCCCAUCCACUCCCG